rnacentral:tRNA from 1 species
GCAGGAGUAGUCAAGCUCGGCCAAAGAAAGCACUGUGCUUUUGUCUCAGGAGUUCGUGAGUUCGAAUCUCACCUCCUGCA